AGCAAGGCUGUAACUAUAUGUCGACGAAUAACAUUAUAAAAAACAGUGAGUCAGUUUUAUAAAGUUCAACGAAAACAAAACAAAUAUGAAAAUAUGAUUGAGUUAAUGGUCGUUACUGUUGUGCUGGUGGCUGGAACAUUAAUGGUUGUACAGACUUUUGUUAUGAGAAGUUGCUUUCAAGUUGGUCAACCGGCACAAAAUUCACACUUUAGCGAUAAAACUUUGUCAAAAUUUUAAAGAUUUAAAGAAUAUAUCAAAACAUUUUUUGAACCUUGCAUAAUCGAAGCAUCUAUUGUUUUGAUCAAAUAGACGCAAACAUGAAUAGAGCGUCUUGUUACGAAAUUUUAUAUUUUAGUAUUAAACGUGAUGUGUGUAAAUUUUAUACUGAUUUUACUGCACAGAAGAAAUUAUAGCGUGAAGAAACAGCCGAGUUUGAUAUUUUUUCAGGCUGACGACGAUGGAAUCAUCAUGUAAAUAACACACGAAUAUUUUUUCCUUUCUGACAUCUGUUAUGCAAAAUACACAUGGCAUUAUUGGUAAUCCUUUGCGCAAUCACAGUCUUUGUCGUCUGCACAUGCAUACAAGCUGCCAUGUUGCUUAAAUGCCCCUGUCUAAAAAACCGAACAUGCACUGUACCGAACAGAUGUAAUCCUUCCAAUCACCAUUACUAACUUGCAGAAUGGAGAAUACCAAACUAAAAAAAGUGUUUUCUGUUUCAUCAUGGGAUAUGAUCAGGAAGUUCGGGAAGCUGUCAACAUUGAACUUAAGAACAAGCAAGAAAGCAACGUACGUUGCAGAUGACAAACCAGUAUGAAGGUGGUUACAUCUUUUAUUUGCUUCGAUAAAUAAUUAUGUCUAUUAACUUUCAUCCUCUCUACUGAACAUAGCCCUUUUGAAAAUUGUUUGUUGACAAUUCGCCCGAAGUCUCUUCUCGGUUACCGUGUUAAUUAAUAAUGCUAUCGUCACGUUUCUGUGUAUAUAUAUACAUAUAUAUAUGCCUUGUUAUAUCUGUGUAUAUAUGUAUGUAAAAUAACAUUUUUUUGGCAAUUUUUGAGUGUUUUUUUGAAGUGGUUGAUAUCAAAGACAAUAUUUGUGACGGAAGUUUAGUUUUUGAUAAAAGAUUUAUGUUGUAAAUAAAUUUUAUUUAAAAUUUGUUUUAAAAAAAAAGGAAAAAAUUCAAA